UCUUGUGUUAGUUGUCAGAAAUGAUUGUUAGGUCAAAGACCUACUUUGACUUGUACAGAUUUACCAUGUUUUAGCCAGAUUACUAGGCAAACAUUAUACUCGCAUUCUCGUGGCUUAUUUCAGUAUUUUUUUCCUGAUGAUGAAACAUUUUCUGUUUGCUGCUUUAGUGCCAUUGUUACAGGGAUUAACACUGGAGAGGUGUGGGUUAGGAAAGGAGAUGGAUCAAAAACAAAGUUGUACAUAGGACAACUGCAGAAAGGAAAAUACAGGAUAAAGAAGUCAUGAAAAGUAGUUGAUCAAGUGCAACAUUUUGCUGUCCAUUGUUUAAAAUCUUUUAGAUUUAAGUUUAUUUUGUGACAGAUUGCAUCAGGCCACUGUGAUAGUUAUGAUGUGUGUAUUGUAGUUGGUGCCUACAGUUUAUCAUAGGAGUAGGAGACUUUGACAUACUGACGUGUUGCUGUGACUAUGUACAGUGAUGUAUUGAGAAUGGCAAUUUUUUAAAUCUCUUUAACUCUGGUGAGAAAUGUAGCAUAUUAUCCUUCUCGUGCUUAACGUAGAAGCAAUGCAAACCUGAAACAAAACGCAGCCUGACCCUUAAGACAAAAGAGUACAAAAGUGGCCCAACUGAAGAGCCACAAAGAAGGAAAGAGAAAACUUGUCAAAUAAAUAAGAAUUGGUCCACUGGAAGAAAGAUAUCAGGUUCUGUCCUCGUGUACCGGUUCACAAGUGCCGAUACAAAAGACCGAACAAUACACAACAGCUAACCAAUGACUCCUAAACAAAGAAAGAACAAUGGUAAUUUCCUUGUGAACCGGUACACCAGGACAGAACCAGAUAUCAGGGUCAUGGAGGUUUGGUGGGAUAAGGAAACAACAAUUACACAAUGUAAGUAAGCCCCCACGCCCAAACACUCUGACUCUUAGAUGUGUUUGAGAAACAGGUUUUAUGCUUUUCUGUCCAGCAGCCAUAGGAAAUCAUCAAAAUUUGUUUCAUUGGUUUACUGUGAACAUUGUUAUUGGCUGUUAGAAUGUAAAGGAGUCAGGCUGUUAACCAAUACUGAAGGAAAACUAUGCAUGUUUAUACAAUGCAUGUUGUCAAGAAUAUACACAACACCAUCAUGGAAAGUUUCUGUUUUACCUGCACUGAGAAUUCAAGUUCUCCUUUACAAUUUUAGCUUUUGAGACUCUCCUCAAAAUUUUCACUGGCAUUGCCUGAAGCCAUAAUUAUGUAUUCAGUAUUAAACUUGGUAUUUUGGCAUUCAUUUGCAUAGUAUUGCUCUGUUAUUUUUGUUAUCUGUUUGCCAUGCAAACUGUAAGUUAUGUGAAUGGAAAAUGUUAUUACUUAAUAAAACAAAGUAUUUCUUUUUAGAAA